UUUCUUUUGAUUGCUCACUGCCUAGAGAAGUGGGUUGUUACCUGGCAACCCCGAACUUGAACUUUUAUUAGUACCUCCUCAAAUGUUCUCAACUUAACUCAAGGUAAAGAUUUUUCAAAAAGAUAUUUCAAACAAUACAUAAAGCUCAAGGUUCAAACGUUAGAACAAAUUAUUCUCUUUUCAUUGGGCAAAAACAUUUUGAAGGCCAAAAGAAUAAGGGAUAACAAGAGAUGGCCUUGAUCAUAUGAAACCUGUACGCAAGUAGUUCAAUCACAGAAAAUUUGGGCAAAAUCAUUCAUGCUUUCAAAGUAAUAACAAUUAUCUAAAAACAACUCUGAAGCUCAAAACUCACACAGGUAAACUCACAAGUUCUCAAAUUCAGAAAAACAUCCUGCUCAGUAUUUUAAUCAAACAUUAUCUCAAGCACCUGUCUCAAAAUUUGGGAUUUAUCAUCAUGCAUCAUCUCAACCUCAAUCAAGCACUAGAAUUUUCAAAAAGCAAGCUUAUGACACAAAAUAGAGCACUGUUGAAUCAAAGCAGUUCAGUUCAUUCAAGUAGAGCACAAUAAAAUAAAACAAAAGAAAACACACAUUAAAACCAAAAAUAAAAACAAAAAUUAAAAAGUAAAAGUUCAGAGCACUGGGUUGCCUCCCAACAAGCGCUUCUAUAACGUCACUAGCUUGACCCAAUAAGUUCAUCAUCAUAGCAUCCAUCAGCAAAUGUUGUUAGUGACAUCCAUCAAUAGAUGUCUAAUCACAUAGCAUCCAUCAGUAGAUACUAAUUUUUCUUGUCAUCAUUGGUAUCCCUCAGUAUACAUCAAUCUUUCUCAUCUUUAUUGGCACCCAUCAGUAGAUGCCUAAUCACCUAACAUCCAUCAGUAGAUGUCUAGUCAUCAUUCUCUUCCAUAGCAGCAUCCAUCAGUAGAUGCUUUCUCAAACUCUUCCAGCAUCCAUCAGUAGAUGCAAAUCUUUCUCAUCAACAUCCUUCAGUAGAUGUUAAUCUUUAUCUUCUUCAUUAGCAUCUAUCAGUAGAUGUCGUCUGUACUGCCAUCAGAAGCAGCGCAUAACCUGGAAAAAAAAACUCAAACACACAAAACCAAAAUCAAAUCCAAACCACACAAAUAAUAAAAUAAAAAAGAAAAAAAUAAAAUAAAAUAUAACAAAACAAAAUAAAAUAAAAUAAAAUAAAACGAAAUCAAAUCAAAUUAAAUAAGAUCAAAUAAAAUAAACAAAAUCAAAUAAAAUAUAAUAAAAUCAAAUCAAAUCAAAUAAAAAUGAAAUAAAAUAAAAUAAAACAAAAAAAAAGAAUUCAAGAACUAGGUUCAAGAUAUUUUUUUCUUUUUGCUGAAUUUUUUUAGGAACUUAAUAUCACCAGGAACCUGUUGUAGUGUUCUAAUCAUAGGAACUUUAAUCAACAAUUUCUUGAAGAUUUCCAUGAAACGCUGAAAUUGUUUCCCCUUUCUCUUCCUAGGAUCCUUCUUUGGGUGAGGAAGUGGUUUUUCAUAUGAUUCUUUCUUUUUGCUUUCAUCCUUCCCCUCUCUCUUUUACUCCUUAGGACACUCCUUAGGGCACAAAGAACUUUUCUUAAUUUUUUUCUCUUCUCUCUCAACCCCUUCUUUUUCUUCCUCUGCAUCUUUCUCUUUUUCACUCAAAAAUUCUUUAUCUUUGCUCUCAUCUUCUUCCUUUUCUACCUCUUUCUCUUUCUCACUCAAACUUUCUUCUUCUUCUCUCUCUAUUUUUAUCUCAUCCUCUUUCUCUUCUUAUUCUUGCUCUUCAUCAUUCAAACUCUCUUCUUCUUUUCUAUCUAUUUUUCUCCCAUCCUCUCUCUUUUCUUCUUUUUCUCUUUCCUCAUCUGGAACCUUGUCAUUUUCAAUGACAACAUCUUUGCAUUCCUUACCAGGACUGGCUCUCAUAUUAUUCUUAAGAUCACCCAACCUUUGAAUCAUGAAGUCAAAAUCAGCCUUCAUCCUUUCGGAUGUCGCUUGAAUGUUUUUCUGACUUGAGAGGGAUUCUUGCAAGAACUGUUGGAGGGUCUCCUCAAGCUUUGUAGUCUUAUCAGCUUAUGUUGGACUAGUGAAUAGUCCUCCAACUUACUCAUAUUGAUUUUGAUUUAUGCUUGAGUAAGGUUCCCACCAGUAGUUGAAAUUAUCCUGGUAAAAUUGCAUCUUGUUAGAGCAUAUUGUGAGACCCGCACAAAAUUUCUAGAGAAAGAUUGUUAGUAAUAAUAAAAAAUAAAAAAAAUUUGGGGAUUGAAAAAUAAAAAUGGGAAAAAAUAAAAAUAAGAAAAAAAAAUAAAAAAAAUAAAGUAACAAUUAAUCAAGAAUCACACAAAUAGAAUAGCUUAAACCAUAAGUCCCCGGUAACGGCGCCAAAAACUUGUUGGAGCAAAUCGGUAAGUGUACCGAGUCGCACAAGUAAUAUAAAAUGGUAAAACCAAGUAUCGUAUCCCAGAGGACUCUUGGCGCUAAACAGUUGUGUGAAAACAGGAUUAAUUAAGACUUAGAAUAAAAGAGAUCAUGGGUGGUAUUGCAAAAAUAAUAAAAUAAAGCAAAAUAAAAUUGAUCAGUGGCAAAAGAGCACAAAGAUGAACGGAGGUUGAUUAAUAUGAGAUGGAUAUGUUGUUGGGGUUAAAUUUCGCCAAGUUUCCUCUCAUGUAUAUAAGAAUUCUUCUUUAUUCAUUAAUGCCAACGUCCCUCACUAAAACACUUAAACUCGAUGUCUCGGUAAAUAAGUCUGUCCUUAAUUGCUAGUUCAUACAAUUCCUAGCAUUCCUGGCAAAAAGAUGUGAAGAUCAAGAGACUAAGACGAAUAAGACUCACACCCUCAUGUCUAAGCAAUAUAACCCUUAGGAGUAAUUCAACAAGGACUUGAAUUGAAAGGAACCUGUCGGCACUCAUUCAACUUAUAGAUCAUGCCAUUGUAUAAGCAAGCAAUAAGAACAGAUGAAUUACUCUAACAAUUAAUGAAAAAGUGUUGGAGCAAAUCGGCAAGUGUACCGAGUCGCACAAGUAAUAUAAAAUUGUAAGACCAAGUAUCGUGUCCUAGAGGACUCUUGGCGCUGAACAGUUGUGUGAAAACAAGAUUAAUUAAGACUUAAAAUAAAAAGAGAUCAUGGUUUUGUAUUACAAAGAAAAUAGAAUAGAGCAAAGUAAAGCUGAUCAGUGGCAAAAGAGCACAGAGAUGAAUGGAGGUUGAUUUAUAUGAGAUGAAUAUGUUGUUGGGGUUAGACUUCACCAAGUUCCCUCUCAUGUAUAUAAGAAUUCUUCUUUAUUCAUUAAUGCUAACAUCCCUCACUAAAACACUUAAACCCGAUGUCUCGGUAAAUAAGUUUGUCCCUAAUUACCAGUUCACGCAAUUCCUAGCAUUCCUGGUAAAAAGAUGUGAAGAUCAGGAGGUUAAGACGACUAAGACCCAUACCCUGAUGUCUGAGGAAUAUAACCCUUAGGAGUAAUUUAACAAGGACCUAAAUUGCAAGGAACCUGUCAACAGUCAUGCAACUCACAGAUAAUGCUAUUGUAUAAGCAAGAAUAAGCACAGAUAAAUUACUCUAACAAAUAAUGAAAUAAAUCAUACAGAAUUAAGAAUCAAUUCAAAUACAUGAGAGUUUACAAGGUUACAUCAUUCCCCAACAACAAAUAGAGUUUAGUUCCCCAUAAACAUGGUGGAACCCUAUGAACUAUGGAAGAAAGAAAGAAUGAAAAGACUAAGAAUUUGGCUAAGAGUGUAUUGUUAUGCUUGCUUCUGCCAGGGAUGCAAAACCUAAAGCCCCAGGGUCCUUUAAAUAGUGCCAAAAGUGUUCCAAACUGCGGCCUAGUCCAAAAGAAUCAAAUCAGAGCAGAUACAGGGCCCGAUCCGCGUCAAAUCACGCUCAAGCGUCGCAGGGAGCUCGCCCGGGCGUGAAUCAAUGCUUUUGUAAGGCUUGGGCACCAGUUUUCGGCGCCUGGACUACGAACGUCUAUCGCCUAGGCGUCGAGUCCGUCGUCCGAGUGACCAGUGGUAAUUUCCAGAUCGUUGUUUCGCGUUUCUAUCGCCUGGUCCUCGCUUGGGCUCCGGGUUUUCUCCCUUCUUGAUGCCUUUUUGACCCCUUUUGAGCUCCAUCUUCAUGGCUUUUCACUUCUUCUUCCAUUAUUGCUUCAGUCUCUGUCAAAACAAAGGGAAUUUGUUAGAAAAUAGUUAAAAUCAACCUCAACUCUCUUAUUCACACAAUUUACUGAAAACACAUGAGUUCAAGCAAGUUUCUAAGUCAAAAAGGGUGCUCUUAGUAUCAAAACCAUAUAUCAAAUAACGGUAUUUUAAUCCGUUAUCAAAAAGCAGAUGAAAUUAAGAAUUAAUUUAAAUACAUGAGAGUUUACAAGGUUACAUCAAUCCUCAACAACAAAUAGAAAUUAGUUCCCCAUAGACAUUGGGGAACUCUAUGAACAAUGGAAGAAAAGAAGAGAAUGAAAGACUAAGAAUUGGCUAAGAGUGUAUUGUUAUGCUCUUCUCUUCCAGGGAUGCAAAACCUAGAGCCCCAGGAUCCUUUAAAUAGUGUCAGACGCGUUCCAAAGUGUGGCCCGGUCCAAAAGAAUCAAAACAUAGCAGAAACAAGGCCCAAUCCAGGUGAUGUAUCACCCAAGCGUCGCAGGGAGCUCGCCUGGGCGAGAUUUGAGGUGUAUGUUGGGCUUGGGCAUCAGAUUUGGACGCCCGGGCGACCAACGGUGAUUCUUCUCGCGUAGUUUUCUAGUUCCUGUCGCUCGGGCUUCGCGUUUUCCCUCUUCUUGGUGCCUUUUUGACCCCUUUUUAGCUCCUUCUUCUUGGCUUUUCACUUAUUCUUCCAGUAUUGCUUCAAUCUCUGUCAAAACAAGGGGAAUUUGUUAAAAAGCUUUUGAAAUCAACCUCAACUCUCUUAUUCACACAAUUUAUUGAAAACACAUGAGUCCAAGAGAGUUUCUAAGUGAAAAAGGGUGUUUUUAGUAUCAAAAUCACAUAGCAAAUAACGGUGUUUCGAACCGUCAUCAAAGAUCCUUUACGGUUUCAGAAAAGAUGUGCAGAAAUCUUGGGAAAAGAAGGAAGGAUUUCUUUCCAUCAAGAGAUCCCUCAGCCUUAGAUCCCUUGUUUUAUGAUUUCUAAUUACAACUAUGAAUAAGAAUUUCCCUUUCUAGAAAGAACAGUAGAUCCUACCACCAGGAUCAGCACCAAGCCAAAUAUCUCCCCCUCAGAAUUUGGUCCUAAUGAGAGAUCUAAGCCUUUAACCCAAGCUAAAGAAGUGCUUAAUUGGCAGACAGAAAAUGCUAAAGUUCAAAAAUUUAUGCUCAAAAGAAUUUAUCAAAAGAUAGAUGGACUUUCAUCAGAAAUGAAGAAUAUGGAUGCCCGAUUAGAGCAUCUUUUUGAAAUAAUUAAAGACCACUAUGUCUAUCUUACAGCUAAAAUUUCUCGUAGAAGAAGAAUGGAAAAGGACCACUUUUAGUGAAACCUCUCAGGCCAGAGAAAGAGAAAGCAAGAAGCUGAAAGCACAACUCCAAGAUUUGGACCAUUACAUAGAAUAAAAAAUGAAAGAGAAACAAUUAUCUUUCUCUAAUCCUUUCAGCCCUCCUCCUUUCACCCCAUUUUGGGAUUUUUUUUCCAAUCUUCCUCCUCUAUGAUUCAUAAGUCCAAACAAACCUAUUCAUUACUAAUCGUUACAGCCUUAAGAACCAGACAAAAACUCAGAACCUCAGCACCCUCAACACAAGAACAUAGAAAAACUCCUAACCACACUCAAUAAGAGUCCCCUAGAAAUCUAUCUGUAAAGGAAGACUAUUUCCAAUGUUUUUGGGGAUCUGAACUAUUGAUGGGUUUUCUUCAUGGGGUUAGACAUAACAAAUAGAGUGCCUUCAUUACUUGAGGGUAAGGAUAGGUUAACUGCAUGAUUCUGUAACCAAUAGAUAAUAUGAUGAUGUAUGUAGUGUUUCACAAAGGGCUUCAGCUACUUGCCUAGCUCCCGUGAUCUGAACUUGGACUUUGAGUCUUUGAGGCAAGGUUGAAUCUCUUAGGCUAACAUUGUAGUUGGGAAACAUAGUGAGAACUACACUUCCUGCAUGUAAGGUAGUCAAAAUUGACCUAUGACAGCAUUUUCAUAGUGGAGAAAACUGGAAUCUAAGAGAGAGUAUGGCAGAGACAGAAAGACCUCUUCUUCCAUGAAGGGAAAGAAUAAGUCUAAUGGCUCCAUAAUGAAGGUGAGUGUAACCUUCCUAUUACCAAUGCUUGAUUAAUUCUUUAGGUAUCUCUAUUAUAACAUAUUGUUCUUCAGGUGUAGCUAUAAGAGAACAUUAUUCCAUCCUAAAGGAUUGAACAUACUCUUUUUCAGGAGGUCUUUUGGAGGUUAUGAGUCUGGCUAUAGAUCUAAUGGAAGAUCUUCGUCUUUUGAAAAUAUUGUACGUACUAAGCAGAGGGGUUAAGGACUCAUAAAUCUACGCAUCUUCAGGGACAUAUGAAUAUUCUAUGAGGUUUUCGAUUUUUGAAGAGAGCGUUUGGAGAUAUUGUCUGGUAGAGAUAAGGGGGAGUUUAGGAGAACAGGUUGUAAAUCGAUAGUUGUUUCCAUGGAUUAGAUAUGAGUUUAGAGAAGUCAAGGAAGUAAGUUAGUUAUACUUUAGGCUCUGAUUUGAUUGGAUUUCUUUUUUAAAUAAAUUCCAAUUUUCAAAUUUGGCCUCAUUAAACCAACCUUAUCUAAAUGUCUUUAGAUUUCAGUUUGAACAUUUAAAUCAAAACUACAUUAUACACUUAUCGAUAUAUUUAAUUCUUGUAUUUCAUUUUUUUUUGUCAACAUUUUAGGCUUCUCAUAUCUAUAUUCUUGUCACACUUAGGUUUUCUUAAAAGCUAAAUUUCUCCUACGUAUUGAGAUUUGAAAAGUUAAACUGCGUAUAUAAUUAAUGCACAUCUAUUGGCUUUUCCUCUUAAUGUAUAAAAUUUUAGGGGAUAUUCUAUCGGUAAAUGUAAAUUAUUCAUAUUCGAAAUAUUCAUUCGUAUAGUUAGCACCCCAAUGGAAGAAGGAACAAUGUAAAACGUAACAAUGAAAGAAAGAAAGAAAUAAAACACUAUAGAAGAAGUAGUGCAGUUACUCUUAUUAUUUAUAUAAAGAAAAAUAUUUUUUAAUAAUAUUUUUUAAUAUUUUUUACAUUAAUAAACUAGACGAUUUACUUUUUGAGGAUAAUUUAGUUACUAAAAAAGUAAAUUUUUAUCCUUGUAGAAAAGUAUUGAAAGAUAAAAUAAUAAAUAUAAAAUGUAUAUAAAAGUUUAUUAAGUGUCAAAAUAGUAUGGGGUUAAGUAUGUUUUUAGUCUUUAUACUUUGGGGCGAUUUUGGUUUUAGUCCCUCUUUCAAACUAUGGUACAAUUUAGUCCUUCAACUUUAAAAAACUCUGGUUUUAGUAAUUUUUACCAAAUUUUUUUAACUUUAUUUGCUGUUUCAAACGCGUUUCUCAGUUAACAUUGAAGCAAAAAUGUGUCAAACAGUGUAAACAAUCCAAAUUCUAUAAUGAAACGUGCUUGAAACAACAAAUAAAGUUAAAAAAAAUUUGUGAAAAGGACUAAAACCAGAGUUUUCUAAAGUUGAAAGACUAAAUUAUACCUUAGUUUGAAAGAAGAACUAAAAUCAAAAUUGUUCCAAAAUAUAGAGACUAAAAACAUAUUUAUAGUAUUAUCUUUAAAAGAUAUAGUGACUCACAAAUUUAGGCUUCAAAUACCACCCUUUAAUUAAUUACUCAUGAAGGAUGGAAUGAAAAAAUGAAGUUUAAUUGUCCUUUUAAAUGUAAUCAAAGUUAAAAAGAAAAUUGCUAACAAAAAAUAUGAAUUAGUUGAAUAAGAGAACUGUUCAUUCUGACACAAAAAAACCCAAUGUCUUAUUUCGAAUUUGGAUUUUCCUUUAGACUUUAAAUAUUAUUUUUUAUUACAUCUUCAAAAUAUAUUUAUGUACACUUAUUUUAAUAUUUUAAAAAUAUUAAAAAAUGAAUAUAUAUAUAUAUAUAUAUAUAUAUAUAUAUAUAUAUAUAUAUAUAUAUAUAUAUAUUUGGAAAUUUAACAGAAAAACAAUGAAAAAAAAAUCAAUAAAAAUGGUUCCGAAUGGAUGACCAAAAGAUCAAUAAAAAUAUGGUAAGUUUAUCUCUUUUCCUUUUACACAAAAAUACAUGUACGUAGCAGUAGGUCAUAGGGAUAACAAAAGAUCAGAGUUCAUUUUAUACAGUCACUACUUUUGUCUGACAUCAUAAUCUUCUUCAAUAUCCUGUCUGCUGAAUGUGUCUAAAUCUCCACAUAUCUCUCGAAAUUAAUAUUAUACUUCACUCGGUCCCACUCUUAAGAAACUGAAUAGAAAAAGAAAGAAAAAUAUUUUUUUAAGAAUUAUUUUUUACAAAUCUUUUAAUCACACUUAUGUAGUGGGCUGUAAUUAGGUUAAUAAAUUUAAACGAAUUAAUAAAAUACUAACACAUAAUUUAUUCUCAUAAAAAAUUGCUAUGAAAAAUUGUUAACAUAUUAGAAAAAAUUCGAAAUCAAUCCAAAACAAUAUUCAUCAUCCAUCUCUAGUGCUUUUAAAUUAUUAGGAAAGGAAAAAAAACUUAAGUAUUCAUAGAUAUUGAUACCUUCAAGGAGGCAAAGUUUCGAACGAAUAAAACAUGUGAACUGUUGGACCCUUCAUCACCUAAACUUUGCUUUUUCAGCCACCAAGAAAAGAAUUGAAGGAAAGCAAGGGAAAUGAGAGAGAAGCUGAGCUUGUAAUGUUGAAGAACUGGAAAGGAAAGUAGCAUGUACAGUGGUGAUUCUCUUCCUGAAAAAUAUGUCAUGUAAAAGUAAUCACACACAAAGUUAUAUAUAUAUAUAUAUAUAUAUAUAUAUAUAUAUAUAUAUAUAUAUAUAUAUAUAUAUAUAUAUGAGGGAAAUCGUCACAUUUGAAGUUGAAUUCCACACAUUACAUACCAUGUAAUGUGAUGUGGAUGAGGAGCUGUGAAAGUGGUUAUAUAAGAUGAUUUUGCUGGGAAGUGAAAAAGUACUACUAGGUGGGGCAUCCAGCUAUAAAACUCAUAUGCCACUGUUGCAGAUGUUGGCUGAAUCUUGGGCAGCCUAGUGAGGAAGAGUUAAUACUUACAAAGACCUAGAAGACGAUAUGUUACAUCAGCUACAGUUGUGGCUGCAACUUUUUGUGCCACUGGAUGAAUACUAAGAAAUUGGUCUUGUUGGAGACAGAUAUAUUAUAAUGUUAUAUGUAUUAAUAUCAAUGAUGGAGACAACAGAAAGAAGGAGCUCCCCUUCAGUCCAAGCACAGAGUAAGAGGGAUGCAAAAUAUCUCCUGCUUCAUUCACACAAUUACAGUAGAAAAUGGCUUUAUAUAAACCCCUACUGUGUGUGUAUGAAUGAGUCAGCAGAUACUUGAGAUCCCCUUUAGUCCCUCAUACCCAUACGUGGGCUGAAGGAAGCUCCUUCACUCUCUUUCUCUCCCGCUACUGUACUCUCAUUCACAUCUACAUCAAUGCAUACACGUUUUAUUUCCUUCCCAGGCUUUCAAGGAACAUCUACACUUCACCUUCCUCAUAUUCUUGCUGCCCCACAGAUAAUUCACAAACCAAUAAAACAAUCUAUAGCUACUCAAAAACCAGGCUAAUCAAUUGCCUCUUGUAUCACAAAAACACAUUGUCACACUAUAUACUAUGUGCUUUCCUAUCAGGAAAUUAACAAACCUAUAUGUGUAUGUAUAUAUAUAUAUAUAUAGUGAGGUUAUAAAGGGUUUAGAUGAAUGAUAAAAUGGGCAAUUGUAUAAACAGAUCACUUUAAAGCAUACAUGUUCAGAUUCUCUCACAUGAAUCAAUGAAUAAUAGAUCAGAUGACAAAAUAUACAGUUUGCUCAAGUGGAAACCCUUUGUGCUGAUCUGAACCCAAAUUGACCUAAUGUAAUUGCAAUUAUGUUAGUGAUUAACUGCUUAUUAAUUCACACAAAACUAACAGAAGAAGUAACUGGAAAAGGCAUUUCAGUAGGCCCAAAACAAGGCCAGUUUGAAAUAAAAGAAAACUUAGGAAAAGGAAAAGGUAAAAAGCUGAACUGGCAACAAGGAGUACAAAAUAUGUAUAUAUAUGUAAUCCAUGCAAGUAUAAAAAAUUUGUGAAUUAUGUUGGUUUUAAAAAAUUUGACGAAAGUUUGUAGCAACAUAUAUAAAAGGGUACAUGUAUAUACCAUAUUGAAUCGAAGAGCUAAGAAAAGAGGUGGUAGGCAUAGAGCAGCAAUCAAGUGCAGGUAACCCUAAUCAUGAGAAGUGCAAGAGCAGUGAGAAUCGAAGAGAAUAUAGAAUUGGAAGUGAUCUAGAAAAUUUAGAAGUAGUAGUGUUGAAGUGUGUGUGUGUUAAUUGAAAGGGUUUGGAUGAGAAAUGAGAAGAGAAAGAUGGAAAAAAAACAGAAAGAGGAAUUGAAGGUGAGGAGGUGAAGAGGAAGGUAGAUGAUGGCAGAAACCCUAAAUGAGGUAUGUUUUUUUAUGGAUAUCUGCGCUCAAGUGAGGAAAGAAAAGGAGUGUUAUAAAGAAAUGAAAAGAGUAAAGCGUUUAAAGGAGUUGGUGCAGGCU
rnacentral:lncRNA from 1 species